UUGGAUACAUCCAUCACAAUGAGCUAAUGAGGCGUGAUUUCGCCUGGCAUAGAAAAAUGUGUUCACUCGUCAGGACACUGUUGUUCAGAGGAGCUAGCCAACAACACAGCUAAAACAAUCACUUCAAACUGAAGCUGGAAAGACUGCAAAGUAGUUGCACUUCGUUUCGUUUGACCUUUUUUCAAUUGACAUUUCUCUGUAUAUAUCCCCGGGACGUCUUCCUUCCGUUCCUGAGCAAGAGGAAGAGGUCGGCAUACCUUCAGGUCAGAUGUUUGUCCGCCGCUGUCGUCGUACCUGGAAGAGAGACCGGUCAGCCCUUCUCAAGACCACCUCCAGGUAUCGACGACAAGCGGACCGCCACCGGACCCCGGCACCCUGGUAUCGUCUCGGGCAGAAGAUGGUAGCUGUGUGAACAGGCUGUGGCUCGGGUGGCUGAGGUCCUUGAUGAUCUUCUUGGCUUUCCUGUGACACCGGGUGCUGUAGAUAUCCUGGAAGGCAGGCAGUGUGCCCCCGGUGAUGCGUUGGGGUGACCGCACCACCAUCAGGAGAGCCCUGCCGUUGCGGACAUAUCACUUUCUUCGCAUAAUAGCGAGCUAGAACACUUAUUAAUGCUGAUUUGAAACUAUUACUGCUUCCGGUAUAUACUGAGUGUACAAAACAUUAGGAACACCUUCCUAAUAUUGAGUUGCACACCCUUUUUACCCUCAGAACAGCUUCAAUUCGUCAGGACAUGGACUCUACAAGGUGUCGAAAGGGUUCCACAGGGAUGCUGACCCAUGUUGACUCCAAUGCUUUCAACAGUUGUGUCAAGUUGGCUGGAUGUCCUUUCGGUGGGGAACCAUUAUUGAUACACACGGGAAACUGUUGAGUGUGAAAAACCCAGCAGCAUUGCAGUUCUUGACAUACUCAAACCAGUGCAACUGGCACCUACUGUCGUACCCCAAUUCAAAGGCACUUCAAUCUUUUGUCUUGCCCAUUCACCCUCUGAAUGGCACACAUACACAGUCAAUGUUUCAAUUGUUUCAAUGCUUAGAAAUCCUUCUUUAACCUGUCUCUUCCCCUUCACCUACACUGAUUGAAAUGGAUUUAACAAGUGACAUCCAUAAGGGAUCAUAGCUUUCACCUGGACUCAUCUGGUCAAUCUAUGCCAUGGAAAGAGAAGAUGUUCCUCAUGUUUUGUACACCCAGUAUAAACCUCAUACCCAACUUACACUGAUCAAGAUAUGAUUUUCUAAAUACAGAACAUGUGCUAUCUAUGAUCAAUGUUCCAGAACUCUGACUUUUUGUAUUUGCCAAGACAAACAAAGGCAAAGUUGUUUUUGGCAUGUACCUCAUGUUUCUCAACAGUGUCACCUGAGUGGAGAGAAUAAUAAGUGAUGAAAUAGGUACAGUUAAUCUGAAAGCUAUUGCUGUAAUGUCCAAAGGAAACAGGGCUAACCAUUUGAAUUAGAGCAGAUAUUCACUGCUAGUGACUCAGUGCUCAGGGCAUACAAGUUAGAUGUGUUUAUUUAAAAGGAGCACGGGGAUAUGAAGUACUGACUAAAGUAUCUCUGUGUAAGCACGGUGUGAAUUAGCUUUUUAUUACAUUCUUGCUCAUCCACUCAACAAGUUUUUGCAUAUACCGAACUGUCAUUCCAAUAAAAAUGUUCAGUUAAAACUGAAAUGAA